rnacentral:lncRNA from 1 species
CCACUUCCGGCCGACUCCAGCCAGGCACUGCGUCGCCACUCACCAUUUCCCGGUUCCCGGUGUCUGCGUCCUCCCCAGCGCUCCUGCCGCCCCAGGAGGUCACCGGGCCACGAAGGGAAGCCCGACCCGCCCUCGGCCGGCCGCGCAGAGGCCGGACCCGCGGGGAAGGAAGGAGCGAGAAACUACGAUCCCGCGAGAACGCUGGAGAGCCGCCUGAUUGGAUGGUUUACAGGCCCCGCCUCUGAGCCCCUGAUUGGAUACUACGAGGCUCCGCCCACCAGGCCUUGAAUGACGUGAGCAGCAACUAACAGGAGGUCGAACAAACCUGCCACUAACAGGUUCUGGGUCAGAGUCUUUCUGGAACUAGGCGUCCCCUCCGCCCCCGUGCCGUGCCCCCCACGUAGGCAGUAUUUGCACUCAGCACUGACUCUUGGUUUUCCGGAGCAGACACUGGCGUCUUCCUGGCUGCACAGCGGCUUCUCGCCUCUUGGAAGUGCAGGGUGGCUGCCCCGGAAGCGGAAGCACACGGGACCGCCCUGCGUCCCCUUUGAAGGUUCGGCGUGGGCCUCCUCCAGGAUCCUCGUGUCGUUCACCUACCCAACACCAGGUAAUACCGUAAAUGAGACGGAGAUCGUCAGGCCAUUGUGGCCAUCAAAACGGUGAAAGACCUGUUUUGCUCUUGCGUGUAUGUAUAAAAGUAAAGGAAAAGUCUACAAGUUUAUUAGAUUUAAAAAACUGGCAAAUAGCUGGGCAUGGUGGUGCACGCCUGUGAUCCCAGCACUCGGGAGGCUGAGGCAGGAGGAUCGCUGUGAGUUCGAGACCAGCCUGGGCUACAUAGUGAGUUCCAGGUCAGUCUCAACUACAUAAUGAGACCCUGUC